CCGCCAGCCUCUCUGCACUCCGCCCCGCCCCCGCGGGCAGCUGCGGUUGGUCCGCUGGCAAGCCUCGAGUCUUGUCCGAACUCGCCACUGGAGGCUUCCUAGCGGCCUUGCUGAUUGGCUGCCCGGGCAUCCUCCCUCCCCGCGGCGGGCCCCGCGCGACAGAGGCGCAGCUAAGCAGAGGCGGCCUGGGGCUGCCGGACGUGCGCCUCCAGGUCUCGGUUCCGGGCCUCGGCCUCACGGAGCUGACUGCGGAGAGCAGAAGACCGUGAGCCCUCCCGGGCCCAGGCGAGACGGGCUGCAGACGGCAAGGACGGGCCCGGGCGCCCCGACUCCGACCUGGCAAAGUUCUGGUUAGCUGUGCGGAUGGCCUCCAGCUCCCGGCUCAGGCUCUGCCGAGUAAGCACCUCCUCCUCCAGGGCCUCCUGGAGCUCCCGGAGCGUCAUCCGGGCCUCCUGGGCCUCCGCCGAGGCUGGAAUGGCUUCCGGAAUCGCCGCUUCAGCCUGCGGGCGGGACUGCGCUUAGGACUGCUCCUGGCUCCUGCCGCACCCAAGACCUGCGCCCAGGUUCUAGGCUGGGGACGCCCCCCUUCUUGUCCUCUAGAUCUCUGGGAAUCCUCCCAGCUCGUGCAGUGACCCAGGUCUCCUCCUUCCCUAACUAACCCCAGCUCGUGUCCUGGUCUCCUGCCUUUGGUCUGGGCUCUUCCACCUGGGAACCAAAGGGCUGUUCCUACAACCCACACCCAGUUUGACCACAUCCCUCUCCUCCUCUCCAGCCCCUCCGCGCCCUCCGGAAGGCCUGCCUCCCUGUUUGGUUGGUUUCCUGUUGGCCUCAGUCUCCCCUCCCCUCAUUCUCCAGGCCCCGCCUCCUGGAAUCAGUAAGUCAGCCUUACCACCCUCCUUUACUUUUCCAAAAUAAACCUGUUGCGUUGAA